rnacentral:rRNA from 1 species
GUUUUCCUCGCGCAGAGCCCAUUGGGCAACCGUGUGAACCCUAGCCCCAAUCCACAGCCCCCACACCCUUCACUCCUCUCUCCCUCGUCCGCCACCAUGCUCCCUCCCUCCUCCCUCCUCUUCCUCCUCCUCCCUCGCCUCCACAGCCUCUGCCUUACGAGCCCCACCGCCGACUGCUACUCCACCACCACGCCCCUUCCUCCUCCUCGCCUUCCCAUCGCUCGUGCACAGGUCGCCGCCGUGGCAGAGCAGGGACAGUGCUGGGUCGUCAAGAUGGGGUGGUUACGAAGGCUUCCCAGCCCGAUGGCGCCGUCAUGGGAGGAGGCUCACCAUCGAAGAGUAGCCGCAGGUGCACAACACCCAAAGAGGUGCAGCCGGGAGGAGGUGAGGAUAAGUCGCUCGAUUGACAAGAGCAGAGCAUCGGAUUGGAUCGAGGGCGCCUGCAUGUCCACGCCGCCACCUAGAGUCACCCUGACUGCCAUCUCAAGCCGCAACCGCGAGUCAACUACACCACUGCCGCCAGGAAUCCCGUCCCCAGCAAGGUUACUUCCU